rnacentral:hammerhead_ribozyme from 1 species
GCACUACUGAGGAGUCCCACAUAGAACGGAAUGGCCGUCCAGUGC